rnacentral:rRNA from 1 species
GCGAGUCUGCCUUGAAGAUCGGAGUGCUUGCACUCUGUGAAACAAGAUACAGGCUAGCGGCGGACGGGUGAGUAACACGUGGGUAACCUGCCCAAGAGAUCGGGAUAACACCUGGAAACAGAUGCUAAUACUGGAUAACAACAGAUGAUGCCUAUCAACUGUUUAAAAGAUGGUUCUGCUAUCACUCUUGGAUGGACCUGCGGUGCAUUAGCUAGUUGGUAGGGUAACGGCCUACCAAGGCGAUGAUGCAUAGCCGAGUUGAGAGACUGAUCGGCCACAUUGGGACUGAGACACGGCCCAAACUCCUACGGGAGGCAGCAGUAGGGAAUCUUCCACAAUGGACGCAAGUCUGAUGGAGCAACGCCGCGUGAGUGAAGAAGGGUUUCGGCUCGUAAAGCUCUGUUGUUGGUGAAGAAGGACAGGGGUAGUAACUGACCUUUGUUUGACGGUAAUCAAUUAGAAAGUCACGGCUAACUACGUGCCAGCAGCCGCGGUAAUACGUAGGUGGCAAGCGUUGUCCGGAUUUAUUGGGCGUAAAGCGAGUGCAGGCGGUUCGAUAAGUCUGAUGUGAAAGCCUUCGGCUCAACCGGAGAAUUGCAUCAGAAACUGUCGAGCUUGAGUGCAGAAGAGGAGAGUGGAACUCCAUGUGUAGCGGUGAAAUGCGUAGAUAUAUGGAAGAACACCGGUGGCGAAGGCGGCUCUCUGGUCUGUUACUGA